rnacentral:misc_RNA from 1 species
GGAUGAAGAACGUAGCGAAAUGCGAUAAGUAGUGUGAAUUGCAGAAUUCAGUGAAUCAUCGAAUCUUUGAACGCACAUUGCGCCCCUUGGUAUUCCAUGGGGCAUGCCUGUUCGAGCGUCAUUUGUACCUUCAAGCUCUGCUUGGUGUUGGGUGUUUGUCUCGCCUCUGCGUGUAGACUCGCCUCAAAACAAUUGGCAGCCGGCGUAUUGAUUUCGGAGCGCAGUACAUCUCGCGCUUUGCACUCAUAACGACGACGUCCAAAAGUACAUUUUUACACUCUUGACCUCGGAUCAGGUAGGGAUACCCGCUGAACUUAAGCAUAUCAAUAAGCGGAGGA